rnacentral:lncRNA from 1 species
CCAGAGCACGGAUUUCACCUCGUCCUUGAGAGAGAGACAGGGGAGAUAAUAAGAAGAGAGAGAGAGAGAGCGACACACACAAAUUACCCCUACACACAGCGACCGACCCGAUAUCGAGACACGAGGAAGACGCCAUCAUCACCGAGACCUCGGGUGAAGCCUCUCUCUGAUGGGUAUCCUGUCCACCCAGUCAUCCCUUCAGGGAUGUUAGUAGGGGUCGGUGGAGCCUAGUCUUCUCUCACCCUGGACUAAAGUGUCUCCAGCUUCAGAACUGAACCAUACAGCACCACCACUCACUGACUGGUAAGGAUAGUUAAUAUGCUAUUUAGCAGACGCUCCUAUGCACAGCCGCACGUUUUGACUCUAG